CGGCCUUCUUGACAGUUCAGGCCUCAGGGUGAAUAACACGUGGACACGUGACUUUUGGUUCGAAAUAGCUCAGGGAAACUUGUAGCUCAUACCGAAUGUGCCCUUCGGGGGAAAGAUUUCUCGCCAUUAUAGCGGCCCGCAUUCUGAUUAGCUUCUUUGUGAGGUAACCGCUCAUCGGCGCGACUAUCUGUAGCUGGUCUGACACGAUGAUGAGACACUCUGGGACUGAGACACGGCCCAGACUCCUACGGGAGGCAGCAGUGGAGUGUCUUGCGCAAUGCGCGAAGCCUGACGCAGCCUUGCCGCGUGUAUGAUGAGCGCUUUAGGAUUGAAAAAUUCUGUCACCGGAAACUAUGAUGACUGUACCGUGAUUAAGAGCCCCGUCUAAAUGCGUGCCAUCAUCCCGGUAAUGCUAAGGGGGUCUAGCGUUGCUCGCAAUUUACUGAGUCAUAAAACGGCGCGUACGCGGAUCCUUAAGUCAGGUGUGAAAACCCCGGGGCUACACCCUCGAAAAUUGCCGUUGAUACUGGCCAUCUAGUAUGUGAGAGAGGUCUGUGGCACUCCCUAGUGUACGAGGUGAAAUUUCGUACAUACUCGGGAAAACUCCCAGGGGCGAAAGGAAUCCUAUUGGCUCAUUACAGACGCUUAGGCGCGUAAACGUGGGCAAAAACGAGAAUUAGAUCCCUGGGUAGUCACGCCGUAACAAUGAUUGCUAGUUGUCGGACUGCAUGCAUUUCGGUGACGCAUCUCACGCAUAAACUAUCCACCUGGGUAUACGGUCCCUAGAUCAUACUCACAG
rnacentral:rRNA from 1 species